rnacentral:lncRNA from 1 species
GGCCCGGAUCCAGUCUACUUUUUAGGCAUGAUGACGUCCGAUUUCCUGCAAGAUUUAAUAUGUUCUUGCAAGGGGAAAUAUAUAUGUAGCAAGUCAUGUAUUUGCCGAGAGCAGCAGAUGUCUUGCACUGAGCUUUGUCCAUGUCAGGGUAGUGAUACCUGCAAAAUAUAUAUUCUAAAGAGGACCUCGAAGAUCAAAUGAAUGACGAUGAUGAAGAUGAAAACGAUACCAUUGACUAAUAGCGAAAGAGCAUUUGAGCAAAGGAGCAACAUAAAGAUGCUCUCUGAUCUUCGACCUUUGACGUGGUUGGCAAGCUUAAGACAAUUAAAUCAUAAUGUAUUUAUAACUGUCGAACUAACAGGAGACCAAAAUAACAUAGAUUUUUAACUGUGCUGUAAACAUGGUAAAUAUGCGCUUUAAAGCAGUUUUACGAUAUGUUUUAAUAUAGUUUUAUCAAUAUUUUGUCGGUAUAAAAAACAUGCUAGGCGAGACAUUAGAACUUAAAAAACUAGUUAUAUAUGUUAUUAAUAUAAAACCAAUAGAAUUUGUGUGUUUUCGAUGCAAAAUUAAA